CCUACGGGUGGCAGCAGUGAGGAAUAUUGGUCAAUGGGCGCGAGCCUGAACCAGCCAAGUCGCGUGAGGGAAGACGGUCCUAUGGAUUGUAAACCUCUUUUGUCGGGGAGCAAAAGACGCCACGCGUGGCGUUCCGAGAGUACCCGAAGAAAAAGCAUCGGCUAACUCCGUGCCAGGAGCCGCGGUAAUACGGAGGAUGCGAGCGGUAUCCGGAUUUUUUGGGUUUAAAGGGUGGGCUGGCGGAAGAUCAAGGUAGCGGUAAAAUUGAGAGGCUCAACCUCUUCGAGCCGUUGAAACUGGUUUUCUUGAGUGAGUGAGAAGUAUGCGGAAUGCGUGGUGUAGCGGUGAAAGGCAUAGAUAUCACGCAGAACUCCGAUUGCGAAGGCAGCAUACCGGCGCUCAACUGACGCUCAUGCACGAAAGUGUGGGUAUCGAACAGGAUUAGAUACCCGGGUAGUC
rnacentral:rRNA from 1 species